CAUUCUACUUUGGGGUUUGAAAUAAUCUCUUUUUAAGUUUGCAUUUAUUGUUUUGAAAAUGUUGUAUUUGAAUGUAGCUUGGAACACAACCUCCCUGAUAGUCCCUUUGCAUCUCCUAAAGCUGCUGUGGACUACUUGACAGCCUUCUCCAGCACAGCUGGUGAGGCGGAAAAGAAUGCCGCAGUUUUGGCAGCAUCUGCUAACAAUAACUUGAUCACUUCAUCCUUGCUUCCUGCCACUUCUACAUUAGACAUGGCUUCUUUGAAAUCAUGUUACUUUCAAGCAACAAGGUUCUCUUCUGGUCAUGGAGCCAUUGGAAUGUAGCUUGGUGCUGUUUUUUUUCAAUUUUUUUAAGCUUUUUUGGCUCAUGGGAAGUUUGAUAAGAAUCAGAAACACCAAGAUACAUGUCAGAGAAAUCACCACCACCACUAGCAUCACCUCUCACCACCAUGGAUGCUAUUAUACAACUUAUUUUACUAAGAUACAAAUGCAUACGUAAAAAGUCAGAAGUGGGUCAGCCAUUUCUGUCUUCGUUGUACUAUUUCCCACAUCUAAGUCGAGUGUCAUAUCUGUAGUUGAAGUUGGACCACAGGUUAAAAUAGUCACAGAAAAUCAAGCAAUCAAUGUGUAGUAGUAGUUGGAGUAAAUUCUUGGGGGACUGUAAUUUUCUUUAGCUUUUCUCACCAGUUAUGGGCUUUUCCCAGUAUAAAUAUCAGAAGUCCCAAGUGUAGUUUGUUAGUGUAUGAUGUUAGGAAGACAAUUAAUGUACAGCAGAACCAGAAACAACAAUGUCAACAAAGAAGCCAAAGCUGUGUAACUAACUACAAGGCUGAUUGGAAAGAAGGUAAAAAGUCAGCUCAAUUUGGUAGUUUCAGGUAUAAAAACAAGAAAAAAGAAAAGAAAUGGUAUUUUUUACCAUAACUUGUUUGCUGUAAUUGUUCUGUAAUACACAGUAUGAACCUUUAGAUUU